GAUGAACGCUGGCGGCGUGCCUAAUACAUGCAAGUCGAGCGAACAGACGAGGAGCUUGCUCCUCUGACGUUAGCGGCGGACGGGUGAGUAACACGUGGAUAACCUACCUAUAAGACUGGGAUAACUUCGGGAAACCGGAGCUAAUACCGGAUAAUAUAUUGAACCGCAUGGUUCAAUAGUGAAAGACGGUUUUGCUGUCACUUAUAGAUGGAUCCGCGCCGCAUUAGCUAGUUGGUAAGGUAACGGCUUACCAAGGCAACGAUGCGUAGCCGACCUGAGAGGGUGUCCGGCCACACUGGACCUGCGCCCGGGUCAGACCCCCCGCGGGAGCCCGCAGGAGGGAUUCUCCCGCAAUGGGCGAAGCCCUGACGGAGCACCGCCGCGUGGUUGAGAAAGUUUUUGGGAUCUAAAACCUCUUUUAUUGGGGAAAAAAAAUGUUGUAAGUAACUAUGCCCGUCUUCAGGGUCCCUAAUAAGAAACCCCCGCCCAACCCCGUC
rnacentral:rRNA from 1 species